GAUGAACGCUGGCGGCGUGCCUAAUACAUGCGAGUCGAGCGAACAGACGAGGAGCUUGCUCCUCUGACGUUAGCGGCGGACGGGUGAGUAACACGUGGAUAACCUACCUAUAAGACUGGGAUAACUUCGGGAAACCGGAGCUAAUACCGGAUAAUAUAUUGAACCGCAUGGUUCAAUAGUGAAAGACGGCUUUGCUGUCACUUAUAGAUGGAUCCGCGCCGCAUUAGCUAGUUGGUAAGGUAACGGCUUACCAAGGCAACGAUGCGUAGCCGACCUGAUAGGGUGAUCGGCCACCCGGGAACUGGGACACGGUCCAUGCUCCUACGGGAGGCAGCAGUAGGGAAUCGUCCGCAAUGGGCGGGAGCCUGACGGAGCGACGCCGCGUGAGUGAUGAAGGUCUUCGGAUCGUAAAACUCUGUUAUUAGGGAAGAACAAAUGUGUAAGUUACUAUGCACGGCUUGACGGUACCUAAUCAGAAAGCCACGGCUAACUACGUG
rnacentral:rRNA from 1 species